ACUUGUUGUGAGGUUUGAUGGUAUUAACCUAGCAGAACAACUUGGAAAUAGACUUACCAGCACAAUACAGUUCCGUGAUGUUUACAUUGUCAGGCAAGGGCAGCUACCCUAAAAAUGGCGUCAAGAUGGGAAGCCAAGUCGACCCCGCCUUCCGCGUGGUUACGCCAAACAGAUCAGGCUUCUUUGUAUGGAGAAUUGAGGAUAUGAAGCCAGUCCAGGUUCCUAAGGACAGGAUUGGUCAGUUUUACAAGGGGGAUUCCUAUAUCAUUCUCAGCCUAACUGCCCACGGACAGAGUCCUCGGGGACUCAAUGUACAGAUGAGAGAGGUGAAGGGGCAGAGACUGGAGCAGAACAUCCACUUCUGGCUGGGCAGCAAGACAUCACAGGAUGAGGCAGGAGCAGCAGCGUACAAGACUGUGGAACUCGAUGACUUCCUGGGAGGGGCACCUGUCCAGCACCGGGAGGUGGAGGGCAAGGAGUCGGAACUUUUCCUCAGCUACUUCUCCAAGGGGCUCAAGACUAUUGAGGGAGGCCACAAGUCUGGCUUCAACCAUGUAGACAACACAUUCCAGAUACGCAUGUACCAGGUGAAAGGCAAGAGGAACCUCCGCAUUACACAGGUUGAUAUCAGCUGGCAGAGCAUGAACCAUGGUGACGCCUACAUCCUUGACCUUGGUAAGGUCCUCUUUGUGUGGGUGGGAAAUGAGAGCUCCCGGAAAGAAAACUUCAAGGCCCUGGAACAUGCCCGGUCUCUGCGUGAUGAGCGCCCAGGGGGUAUUGUCGUCGCGAUCGAAGAUGGACAAGAAGAGAAGAUGACAGCAGAUGAGAAAAAGCUGUUUGAGCAGCAUCUCCCUCUGAAUGAGAAGUCCCAGGUCAAAGCCUCAGAUGCUGUUGCCACUGAUAAUCUGUUUGAAAGGAAGAGUGCAGAAAAUAUGAAACUAUUCUCGUGUCGAGAGGAAGAUGGGAACCUGACCAUCAAGGAAGUGAAGACUGGACCACUAUCUCGCAAAGAUAUGACGUCAGAUGAUUCCUUCAUCAUUGACUGUGGGCCGGAGCACAUCUGGGUGUGGAUCGGUAAACAGGCCACCAAGUCCGAGAGAUCUGAGGCUAUGAGGAAUGCUGUGGGCUUCAUUCAAAAGAAGGGCUACCCAACCGACACAUCAGUGACGAGAGUAGUCGAUGGUGGCGAGCCCUCAGAUUUCAAGUGUCUCUUCCCUGAUUGGCCACAACCCCCACCCCCAGGAAAAGUCUACUCAAGGAGCAGAAUAGCAAAGACUGUCCAGACCAAGUUUGAUGCCUCAACUCUGCACAACAACACAGCCCUUGCUGCUGAGAGUCAGAUGUUUGAUGAUGGUACUGGGAAAGUCGAGGUGUGGCAGGUACAGGACUUCGACCUGGUAGAGCUUGACAAGAACACCUACGGGGACUUCUACGCUGGGGACAGCUACGUCAUCAAGUACACAUACAAAGUCAAUGGUCGCGAACACUACCUCAUCUACUACUGGCAGGGAAGCAAGUCUACAGCUGAUGAGAAGGGAACGUCGGCGCUGAAGGCUGUAGAGAUGGACGACGCCAUCGGAGGGGCUGCAACACAGAUCCGAGUUGUCCAAAAUAAGGAACCGCCACACUUCAUGGCCAUGUUUGACGGCAAGAUGAUCAUCUUCAGUGGCGGCAAGGCAGGGUGGCAGAAGGGGGACAAGGAUAUGGGCCCAGGAGACAAGUACAUGCUUCAGGUGCGAGGAACCUCCGAACUCAACUGCAAGGCUAUUCAGGUGGACCUCUCCGCUACAGCGCUCAACUCCAACGACGUGUUUGUGGUGUUCACCAAGUCCACUGUCAGCAUCUGGGCAGGAAAGGGAAGUACGGGCGAUGAGCGGGAGUAUGGCAAGAGGAUAGCUUCCAGGUCACCGAGAACUCAUGAGAUGGUGUUUGAAGGACAGGAGAAGGAAGCUUUCUGGAAUAUUUUGGGAGGCAAACAGCCCUACGCAAGUGACAAGCGGUUGCAGGAUGACGAGUCAGCCCACCCCCCUCGCCUGUACCAGCUGUCCAAUGCAUCGGGCAACAUCCGAGUGGAACAGAUCCAGGACUUUGUUCAGGAUGACCUUGUGCCGGAGGAUGUGAUGCUGUUGGACGUGUGGGACUCAGUGUAUCUGUGGGUCGGAGUCGGAGCCAACAAGAAGGAGAAGGAUGAGGCAGAGAGAAUUGCACUGAAAUACCUGGAGACGGACCCUGCAGGGAGAGACAAUGACACGCCCAUCAUCAAGGUGAAGCAGGGUCUGGAACCGCCAACAUUCACAGGCUUCUUCGGGGUCUGGGACCGAGAUCUCUGGAGCAAAGGCAAGACGUACGAGGAACUGAAGAGUGAGCUUGGAGCCCAGGCUGUGCAAGGUUCUCUGGUCCAGGAGGCCAUGAACGGCAAUGACCAAGACUUCAACGAGGUUCCCAAGUACUCCUACUCACAACUGAUAGUGGCAACAGAUGAACUACCCAAUGGGGUCAACCCAGAAAACAGAGAGAUUCAUUUAACUCCUGACGAGUUCAAACAAAUCUUCAAAUGUAAUUACGAAGAUUUUAGUAAAAAGCCAGCAUGGAAAAAGCAGCAGAUCAAGAAAGCGCUACAGCUCUUCUAGACAAGAUGGUCACGCGUUUCAAAUUAUGCAUAACACAUGCUUUUGUUCUCAGAACAUUCAUUACCUUUCACCCCUACCUGGCUGAAUGGAAAACUCCUUGGUUAUUUCAGGAAUAGUUCAUUACAGAAAAGAAGGAGUGUUAGAUGAAUUGUAUGAAGUAGUAUUACCAUAUAUCUUUCAUGAAUCAUAUUUAUACAGGGAUAUAGCAUAUGCACCUUUAUGGAACCACUUUCUGUUUAACAGUUUCAAAUCAACUGUUAAAGAAGUAAUGGUAUUCUCUGAUUGGCUAACUGAAAUAACCAAUCAGGACCCAUCACUGCCAGGUGCACUGUGAUUGGUUGUUUAUUUUUGUAGAUACUUAGUGGAAAAGAGAUUUGUAUACUACUCAUGGAUUGACAUUCAUUAACGAGACCACAUAUUCUUAUACAGAGUUCAGCUGUUUCUUUAUUGAGUUUUACACCUCCAUCUUAACUGUCAAUAUUCUACUUGUGUGCAAUCUACACCUAGUAUUUACUGCUGAAAUAUAUCAUGAGUUGGAUACACGUUUCUGGCUAAACCCUGUCUCACUGAAACCUAGGUUUGUAUUGGAUUAAGAUUGAGUAAUUUAACCACUGUGUACCAUUUUGGGAGUUUCUGAUAAGGUUUUAUCAUUUAUGUUCAAUUCAGUUUUGUAUUUAGAAGAAAACUGUAUUUUUCUGUUGUAAGGAUCUCAUUUCUUCCAUAAAUAGUCAUGGAUAUUGUUUAUUUCUAUACGCUGAUAUCAUUCCAACCUGCUAAUUUCUCUCCAAAUAUUCCUGAAUUUCAUCACUUUUUAUCAGUUUAAAACUAUGAUCAUAACAUAAAAGUAUGCAUUGCUGAUAUUUUGUUUUAUCUCCUUGUUUAGAUUCAUGUUUUGUGUUGGAUAUCAUUCAAAACUAAUAAGUCCUCAAUUAUUGACUUGCUCACAGAUUUAUAUUUUGAUUCGUUACCCAUUUUGCUCAAUGGACACAGUAGGGAACAAUCCUAUCUAUGUAUGCAGAGUUUGUGAAGAGUAAUUUAUGACCCAUUAUGGUCGAUAGAUUUUCAGGCAAAGAUGCUUGAACACAGUGAAAAAAGGUGGUCAAUUUAAAUUUUACCUUUAUGUUUUUGUUUUUUAUUUUUAGUGUGAAAGGAAUGAUAGACAUGAAAAAGUAAGGCUAAUACAUGGUUGUUUUCAUGCCUAAAAACCAAGAAUAUUAUAUUUUAGCUUAAGAGAACAUAACCCAGCAGAAAUAUGAUAUCAUUUCUAACUAAACUUUUAGAUUUGUUUGUGUACAUAAUAUUAUAAUUAUAAUAAUCAUAGUUUGAUACUACUUCCUGGUAAAUUAUGGAUCUUAUCGUGUUGACCGUUCAGGACAAUAUAGCAUGUGCUACAAUGUUACUGUUCUGAGACUGUUGGUCAUUGCUUUUGUUUACACUGUUGAAGCAUUCCAUUGUUGUAUGAUUUGAAACAAACUGACACUCGGGUGGUCAUUAUACAAGCAAUAUUUAAAGGGGGUCAGCACCGUAAUGUUAAGCUUACAAAUUAUGGGUGUCUGUUUUCACUUCAUGAAGUUGCAGAGAUUUGUCUCUUCCAAAUAUUCAGUUUAUACAUUUAUUUUUACACACUUCAUACAUGCCUUUUGUGAAUCUGUACAUUUUUCAUCAAGUGGAUGUGUUGUGAGACAAGAAGCAAAUUUGUACUGCAAAAAUAUCUUGGAAAAUGUUCAACCAGGGUAGACAAUGCUCAAGAAUCUCAAUUUAAAUUUUCCAAAUCAUUCAAAACUUGAUCUUCCACUUUGGAUAUUUAACACUUUAAUUUUAUCAGUUUUGUUAUGAUGCAUCUAUAUGGAAUGAUAUGGAGAACGAUGAAACUGGCAUGAUGUUAUUUUGUGAAUAUUCACCAUGAAACUAUCAAGUUUAUGUAUAUCAUAAUAUUUGUAGAUGUGUAUAUGGAGUUUAUGCAUAAUCAUUUAAGUAGAUCUCUGAAAGGCUAGAUCUGAGGCUGUGUAUAGCUUGAUCUGAGACAGCUUAUGGCUAGAUCUAAGAUGGCUUAUGGCUAUAUGAGAGGCUGUGAAUGGCUAGAUCUGAGGCUGUGUAUAGCUUGAUCCGAGACAGCUUGUGGGUAGAUCUAAGAUGGCUUAUGGCUAUAUGAGAGGCUUUGAAUGGCUAGAUCUGAGGCUGUGUAUAGCUUGAUCCGAGACAGCUUGUGGGUAGAUCUAAGAUGGCUUAUUGCUAUAUGUGAGGCUGCAUAGCCAUAUCUCUUAUAGCUUUUGGCUAUAUCUGUGGCUGUAUAUGGCUAGAUCUUAGGCUGUGUAUAGCUAGAUCUGAGACAGCUUAUGGCUAGAUCCGAGACAGCUUUUGGCUAGAUCCGAGACAGCUUUUGGCUAGAUCUAAGAUGGCUUAUUGCUAUAUGUGAGGCUGCAUAGCCAUAUCUCUGAUGGCUUUUGGCUAUAUCCGUGGCUGUAUAUGGCUAGAUCUUAGGCUGUGUAUAGCUAGAUCUGAGACUACUUAUGGCUAUAUCUGAGGCUGUAUAUAUGGCCAUAUCUCAGAUGGCUUUUGGCUAGAUCUAAAGCUUGUUUGACUAGAUCGGAUUAGAAUGGCAAAAGACAUUAUCAUAGCAGCACAUUUAAAAGCUCAAGUUUUGCUACAGCAGUUUGGAAGGUGAUAAUCAGGUUGAUAUUUGAAAUUACAGGUGUUGCAUCCUUAAUGAAGAUGCUGCUAUUAUUAUGGGUUAUCAUGUAAAUGCCUCUCACAACACGAAUAGUUCAAUUGUUUUCCAUUUGAUACUGUCAUCAAUUCAAUUUGAGACUCAUCCUUAUCACUUGUUAAGUCGAUGUAUAUUAACCACUGUACACUGCUGAGAGAUCUGAACUGGUAAUAAACUAUCACAAAGAUUAGGCAUUUGAGAGAUCUGUCCAGUGUAAAUUUUGUUGAAUGAUGUUUUACUUUUUGAAUUACUGCCACCUGUAAAGCCUUCAAGAUGGAAUCACAGCGUGAAACAUACAUUAAAGAACAGCAAAGACCACAACACAAGGUUAGGGUAGCUGUCACUGGACAGGGGAACAAGACUGCUCUGAAACCCAAGCAGCUCAUAGGUUGCCUGUAGAACAUGAUUACUGAUACCAGAGUGCCCUGAAUGUACAGGUUGUCACUGUCUAUGGUGCCCUGAAUGUACAGGUUGACACUGUCAAGGUGCCCUGAAUGUACAGACUGACACUGUUAAGGUGCCCUGAAUGUACAGGUUGUCACUGUCUGGUGUGCCCUGAAUGUACAGACUGACACUGUCAAGGUGCCCUGAAUGUACAGACUGACACUGUCAAGGUGCCCUGAAUGUACAGACUGACACUGUCAAGGUGCCCUGAAUGUACAAGUUGUCACUGUCAAGGUGCCCUGAAUGUACAGGUUGUCACUGUCUAGAAUUCCCUGGGCAUACAGGUUGCCACUAAGUGUCCUGAACGUACAGGUUGUCACUGUCUAUAGUGCCCUGAACGUACAGGUUGUCACUGUGUGGAGUGCCCUGUCCACACAGCCUGUCACUGAACACUUCUCACUUCCAUCCUCCGAGAUCUUCCUGUACUCGGUCUGUAUCUAGAUGUAUACACACUGUAAACAGGCAUUUGCUUCUUACAUUAUUAAAAAAACAAGAAUA
rnacentral:misc_RNA from 1 species